rnacentral:rRNA from 1 species
UAGGUUUGACAUGGACGUGGUACCCGGGGCGAAAGCUUUGGGGACCCGCAAGGGAGCGUUCACAGGUGCUGCAUGGCUGUCGUCAGCUCGUGUCGUGAGAUGUUCGGUUAAGUCCGGCAACGAGCGCAACCCUCGCCUCCAGUUACCAGCGAGUAAAGUCGGGGACUCUGGAGGGACUAACCCGUUAGGGUGGGAAGGUGGGGAUGACGUCAAGUCAGUAUGGCCCUUACAUCUAGGGCUGCACACGUGCUACAAUGCCUGGUACAAAAGGAACCAAGACCGCGAGGUGGAGGAAAUCCCUAAAGCCAGGCCCAGUUCAGAUUGGAGUCUGCAACUCGACUCCAUGAAGCCGGAAUCGCUAGUAAUGGAGAUCAGUACGUACCGGAA